rnacentral:lncRNA from 1 species
CGCCUUAUUUGGUCGUUCUAAUGAAACCUCUUCUGUUGCUGAAAACAAGACUAGACAGCAGUGAUUUGUUCUAAUCUCUAGAGCAAGGAUGUCUUAAUCUGAAGAGCAGUUUUAUCUAAAGCGGUUGGUCUUAGCAUAGCUAGAAUGUUCUGUACCUCGGUCGUAAAAUACCACUAUAAACUCUUUAGUAGUGCUAUUCUUUCAAUCGAAGCCUACGUUUUAUUUUUAUAUCAACGGCACUCAAGAAUGUCCGAUUUACACCAAUACAUAUACAAAAAAACUUCACAGAUCGAUAAAAUAUGAAUAAUCGUCUGGAACUUCAAAAGGAAAAGAUGUUACCGAUUAAAAUAUGAUUCGAGGAAGAAAAAAAUAGAGAUUGAAAAAUACUAGUCUUCACUGUGACUCCAUUGGCCGACAUGUUAGUUUUCUAUUGAACAAAGGGACAAGGAAUCUCCAGAGAGUUCCAAGCACACCAACACCCAACCAGGUUUCGAUUCCCAUUUCAUUUCACUGACAUUCUGAGAACCAACAUGGUCACUCAACUUGCUAGAAAUAACUAUCUCAUUCGUUCAAGUUACACCCUACCAUGUUUGCAAAGAAGUUCCAUAAAGAUGUCCUGCAUUCUUGAGACACAGUUCUUGUUGCUGGUUACGAAGGAGGAGAAAGCAAAACGCUGAUUUCUAUGGAGGUCUGAAGAGCCACUACAUUUCUGUCCCAUGUUCAAAUACCAAUGUUUAUCCCCU